UACAGAGGGUGCGAGCGUUGUCCGGAAUCACUGGGCGUAAAGGGCGCGUAGGCGGCCCGACAAGUCCGUGGUGAAAGCUCGACGCUCAACGUCGAGUCGGCCAUGGAUACUGUGGGGCUGGAGCACUGUAGAGGCUCAUGGAAUUCCGGGUGUAGCGGUGGAAUGCGUAGAGAUCCGGAAGAACACCGGUGGCGAAGGCGGUGAGCUGGGCAGUAGCUGACACUGAGGCGCGACAGCGUGGGGAGCAAACAGG
rnacentral:rRNA from 1 species